UUAUUAAUUUGUAAAUGACUUCUCAUUAGGAGGGUUGAAUACAACUUCUUGCUAAAAUAAUCUACAAUGGUGUGAUAUGCCGGUAGCCAGUUCAUUCCUAAAAUUAUAUCAAAGUCUCCUAUGUCAAUUUCUAUUAGGUCCACACUCAAUUUCCUAUAUGCUAUAUCUAUGAUACAAGCCUUGUAUACAACCUCCCCCUGUAGUGUCCUACUCUUAAGAGUAGACACAAACAAUAAAGAAUCAAGUUUUUCAGGCAAUACAUAUAAUUUUGAUGCAAAAACAUGUGAAAUAAAUGAAUACAAUGCACUAGUAUCAAUCAAGACAUGAGCAAAAUGGUUACAUAUAAUGUACAUACCCUGUACCACGUCUGGGUUGGCUUUUGCAUCCUGCUAAAGAGAUUGUAAGCCCUGCCCUGGAUAGGAGAUCUGGCCUAGUUUUGGUUCCUUAGGCACUCCCUUGCAUAAUGUUGGGUGCUACCACAUAUGCGGCAGGUGUUGUUGAGGCAAUAACAGGGUCAGUCCCCCUAAUCCUUGCCACAAUACUUACAGAUCUUGCCGCGUCUUGCUGUUGGAACCUAAGGGGGAGCCUGGGUCGUCGGCCUGGGUCUCUUGUUCUGUUGAAUAGGUGAAGUAAGUGCUGGUCUAUAGUGUGGGGCUGAGGACCUGAGGUUCCUUGCUACUUGAGGGAAGGUGCAAAGGCUCCUCUCUGCUAAUUGUGCCUUGGCCAGAAUAGCUAAAUAAGUAUUGAGCUCGAGCAUAAACAACUACUGUCUGAUCUCAGGACAAAGACCCCCCUCGAACCUUCUAGCCUUCCUACCUUCGUCCAUCAUGAUCUUAGGAGAAUAUCGACCCAACUCUAGAAACUUGCGAGCAUAUUCUAAUACAGUCAUGUACCCCUGGACCAAGUGUGCAAACUCCAUCUCCUUCAGAUGUCGGAGGUGCUCUAGGAGGUACUCUAUAUAAAAGGCAGUCAUGAACUAUUCCCAAGUGACUGGAAAGGGUACGGUGGUCUGCUUGAGUGGUCACCAGUGGUCUGCUUCUCCCACCAGCAUGUAAGUAGCAAGGAUGACUUUUUGUUCGGGGAUCACCCCGAGAGUCUUGAAGGACUUCUCUGUCUCGGAUAAGCAGAACUCGGCCUCUUCAAAUGAGGAUUUUCUUGCAAAAGUAGACUAUGUAGCUUGGGUCCAUCAUGAGAGGAACUAGUUCUUGUAGAUGAAGGACUGGGCUGG
rnacentral:lncRNA from 1 species